rnacentral:lncRNA from 1 species
UCGAACUUUGAAGGCUAGGGUCAGAAGGUUUAGGUUUUUGGUUAAGGUUUUGGUGCAAGUUUUGUAUCAUUUGGGGUUUUUAUGAAGACGUUAUAGGCGCUCAAAGUUAAGGUGUCAGUUUUGGACCUACUGUCACUCUUUUGGGCAUAACGCACGUGUACGGAUGGCAAUUGAGGAUCGGCGACUACGACUGGAAAGAGCACUUUUGCGGCUGUACUUUUCACAUACAGCUUACUGGAUUCCAAGUUGGGAUGACGGAGUUAUUGGAUUUUGAAGACAGCACAUGCAAUCUAAGGGUAGUAGGUAAACCGAUUUACUAGUGUUUGUCUCUUGAGCUAUAUCUUGAGCAAUUUUGUGAGGUUUUGGCUCAAAUUUCAAGGAAUGUAUAAUUUCAUGUUAGUAAACUUUGUGCAUAAGUUUUAUGACAUUUGGAGUUCGGAUUUUUGAGAUAU